UGGAGAUGUAGCUUAGUGGUAGAGCACUUACCUAGCAUGUGUACGGCCUGGGUUCAGUUCCCAGCACUGCAA
rnacentral:tRNA from 1 species